GACGUAGGAUGCAAGCGUUGUCCGGAAUUAUUGGGCGUAAAGAGUUCGUAGGCGGUUAUCUAAGUCUGGUGUUAAAGCCCGAAGCUCAACUUCGGCAUGGCAUUGGAAACUGGGUAGCUAGAGUGUGGUAGAGGUAUCGGGAAUUCCUGGUGUAGCGGUGAAAUGCGUAGAUAUCAGGAGGAACACCAAUAGCGAAGGCAGCUCGCUGGGACGGUACUGACGCUAAGGCGCGAAAGCGUGGGGAGCAAACAGG
rnacentral:rRNA from 1 species